rnacentral:rRNA from 1 species
UACGGAGGGUGCAAACGUUGCUCGGAAUCACUGGGCUUAAAGCGUGUGUAGGCGGGCCCGUAAGUGUCUUGUGAAAUCCCACGGCUCAACCGUGGAACUGCUGGGCAUACUGCGGGUCUUGGGCCAACUAGGGGCAGCCGGAACAAGCGGUGGAGCGGUGAAAUGCGUAGAUAUCGCUUGGAACGCCGAAGGUGAAAACAGGCUGCUGGGGUUGCGCCGACGCUGAGACACGAAAGCCAGGGGAGCAAACGGG